rnacentral:rRNA from 1 species
UAAUACGUAGGGGGCAAGCGUUGUCCGGAUUUAUUGGGCGUAAAGAGCGUGUAGGCGGCCAGGUAGGUCUGACGUGAAAUCUCGAGGCUCAACCUCGAGCGGUCGUUGGAAACCGUCUGGCUAGAGUCCGGAAGAGGAGAGUGGAAUUCCUGGUGUAGCGGUGAAAUGCGCAGAUAUCAGGAAGAACACCCAUGGCGAAGGCAGCUCUCUGGGACGGUACUGACGCUGAGACGCGAAAGCGUGGGGAGCGAACAGGAUUAGAUACCCUGGUAGUCCACGCCGUAAACGAUGGGUGCUAGGUGUGGGCGGUGUCGACUCCGUCCGUGCCGCAGCUAACGCAUUAAGCACCCCGCCUGGGGAGUACGGCCGCAAGGCUA